CAGCAGCCACGGUAAUACGGAGGGUGCAAGCGUUAAUCGAAAUUACUGGGCGUAAAGCGCACGCAGGCGGUCUGACAAGUCAGAUGUGAAAUCCCCGGGCUUAACCUGGGAACUGCAUUUGAAACUGUCAGGCUGGAGUCUUGUAGAGGGGGGUGGAAUUCCAGGUGUAGCGGUGAAAUGCGUAGAGAUCUGGAGGAAUACCGGUGGCGAAGGCGGCCCCCUGGACAAAGACUGACGCUCAGGUGCGAAAGCGUGGGGAGCAAACAGGAUUAGAUACCCGAGUAGUCCCUGUCUCUUAUAC
rnacentral:rRNA from 1 species